UUAACACAUGCAAGUCAAGGGGGCCCAGCAAUGGGCAACCGGCGAACGGGUGCGUAACACGUGAGCAACCUACCGAACUGUGGGGGAUAGCCGGCCUAACGGCCGAGUAAUACCGCAUACGCUUUCAGUGAGGCAUUUCAUUGAAAGGAAACCUACGGGACAGAUCGAGGGGCUCGCGGCCUAUCAGCUAGUUGGCGAGGUAACGGCUCACCAAGGCAACGACGGGUAGCUGGUCUGAGAGGAUGGCCAGCCACAUUGGGACUGAGAUACGGCCCAGACUCCUACGGGAGCCAGCAGUGGGGAAUCUUGCGCAAUGGCCUAACGGCUGACGCAGCGACGCCGCGUGUGGGAUGAAGCUCUUCGGAGUGUAAACCACUGUUGCCCGGGACGAAUAGCUCGAUUAAUCGAGCCUGACGGUACCGGGUGAGGAAGCACCGGCUAACUCCGUGCCAGCAGCCGCGGUAAUACGGGGGGUGCGAGCGUUGUCCGGAAUCACUGGGCGUAAAGGGCGCGUAGGUGGUUUGAUAAGGGUGUGGUGAAAGUCCGGGGCUCAACCCCGGAUCUGCCGUGCCGACUGUCAAACUCGAGGGCUGUAGAGGCAGACGGAAUUCCGGGUGUAGCGGUGGAAUGCGUAGAGAUCCGGAGGAAGACCGGUGGCGAAGGCGGUCUGCUGGGCAGUUUCUGACACUGA
rnacentral:rRNA from 1 species